CGGCGCUGAGGACGGGCGCUGAGGAGGCGGCGGUGGCUCCUGGGGCGUUUGAGCGGGCUCACUCGAGCCCGCGGGCCGACGCGGACGCAGGCCCAGCCGGCGGAACCGCCCCGGACUCCCCGCGGGCCUUCCUAGCCGCCAUGGAGGACGGUGUCUACGAGCCCCCAGACUUGACUCCAGAGGAGCGCAUGGAGUUGGAGAACAUCCGGCGGCGCAAGCAGGAGCUGCUGGUGGAGAUCCAGCGCCUGCGAGAAGAGCUAAGUGAAGCUAUGAGCGAGGUGGAGGGUCUGGAGGCCAAUGAGGGCAGUAAGACCUUGCAGCGGAACCGGAAGAUGGCAAUGGGCAGGAAGAAAUUCAACAUGGACCCCAAAAAGGGGAUCCAAUUCUUGGUGGAGCAUGAACUUCUGCAGAACACGCCUGAGGAAAUUGCCCGCUUCCUGUACAAGGGCGAGGGGCUGAACAAGACAGCCAUUGGGGACUACCUAGGGGAAAGGGAAGAGCUGAACCUGUCUGUGCUCCAUGCUUUUGUGGAUCUCCAUGAGUUCACCGACCUCAACCUGGUGCAGGCCCUCCGGCAAUUCCUAUGGAGCUUUCGCCUCCCUGGAGAGGCUCAGAAAAUUGAUCGAAUGAUGGAGGCCUUUGCCCAGAGAUACUGCUUAUGCAACCCUGGGGUCUUCCAGUCUACAGACACCUGCUACGUGUUGUCCUUUGCCGUGAUCAUGCUGAACACCAGCCUUCACAAUCCCAAUGUCAGGGACAAGCCGGGCCUGGAGCGCUUUGUGGCCAUGAACCGGGGCAUCAACGAGGGUGGGGAUCUGCCUGAGGAUCUUCUCAGGAACCUCUACGACAGCAUCCGGAACGAGCCCUUCAAAAUCCCAGAGGAUGAUGGGAAUGAUCUCACCCACACCUUCUUCAACCCAGACCGAGAGGGCUGGCUCCUAAAGCUGGGUACGUCCCUUCCUGAGCCUGCUGGCCACCUUGCAGGGACACUAGCAGCCUGGGUCAUGACCAACCGUCCUCAGUUUUUGCACCUUUGAGAACCUCAAGUUUCCACAACUGAAAAAUGGGGCUGAAAUCAAGAGCAGAUUUGUCUGUGUGCUGGGCCUGAUGAGCCAGGCUCUUACCUCCCUUAGUAAAAACCUCCCAGGCCCAGGACAGGAUCAGAUGCUUGGCAGAUGGCUCUAGACUUGGCCUUAUUGUCGGCCCGCUGAAUGUCAGCCCAAGGUGAGCCAACAUAGAGAUAACUUUGGGCUUCAGGCCUUCCUGAGGAGGGAACAGGAGUGAUGUAGGCAGAUGGUUUUAGGUGACUCUUGAGUUCCCGGUUGGAAGUGUGAUAUGGCACCGUGUUUUAACCAGCUGCUCAGUUAUCCAGGGCCAGAGACAGUAACCAGGAGAGUUGCUCUGAGCUGCAGGUGCUGUGAACCCUGAGGCUGAUGCAGGCAGGAUCUGGGUACUGGCCAGCCGUUAGUAACUACAGCUCCUCAGACACUCGAAGUACAGCUAGGGGUCCCGUGCCAAGCUGGAGGGAUAGUGGCGGGGCUGCCCGGACACUGCUCAGAGCCAGAGCGUGAGAGCUGUAGCUAGGCUCUCCCCGCAGAGUGAGGGUAGACUCGGGCCUCACUUUCCUUGGGCUGGUCAGCAGUGGCUUUGGCAUCCCUCCAGGCCUUUAGGUCCUGUCCUGCCUUGUUGAUAUGUGCUCACCAAACAAGGCACUGUGUCUUCACAGCCAGUGUGCUAUCCUGGUGACUAUACACGGCCCUUGCUGGGCAGCACCUGGCCCUGACCCCUUUGUAGGGUGCAGGGAAGUUAGUAAGAUGAAAAAGAUCGGGUUCCUCAGCAGAGAGUGGUUCAGGGGGAGCAAGAAGGCAACUUCCCCCAAAAUGGGGCUCUGAGCUGCUCUGCCAACAGUAGUUUCCAUUUCUCAUUUGAAGAAACUGAGGCUCAAAGGUGCCUUGCCAGUAAGAUGCAUCUCUACUCCCACUGGUUCAUCCAGAGGCCAUCUUGUCCCAGACAAGAUAUGGGUGGGUGGGUCUCCAGAGAGAGCCAGGGGCUUGGUAAGAUCGCCCCCACCCCUUAGAUCUGGGUAGAGGUGUCAGGGCUAUCCUGGCCAGGCUGAGCAAGGUGGGCAGGGCAGGGGGAGGGCCGGCUCCACCCCAUGUAGAUGUAACUGGUUUUCUUCCUCUCUCCCCCUCCCCUCUGCCUGUUCUCUUGCUGUGGCUCUGGCUCCCUGUGCAUCCCUUCCCUGACCCCCUAUUUCUGUCGCUGCGAUUCUUGGGGGCACCCCAUCCCUCCGCCUUCCCUUCCACACCUGGUCCUGCCUGCUUUCUCGCUGUCUGCCCCAGGAGCGGUUCCCCGCUGAGCCCGGCCCCUCCCACCCCUUCCCUUGCAGGGGGCCGGGUGAAGACUUGGAAGCGGCGCUGGUUCAUCCUUACAGACAACUGCCUCUACUACUUUGAAUACACUACGGACAAGGAGCCCCGAGGGAUUAUCCCCCUAGAGAACCUGAGCAUCCGGGAGGUGGACGAUCCUCGGAAGCCGAACUGCUUUGAGCUUUACAUUCCCAACAAUAAGGGACAGCUCAUCAAAGCCUGCAAAACAGAGGCUGACGGCCGGGUAGUGGAGGGGAACCACAUGGUGUACCGAAUCUCAGCACCCACCCAGGAGGAGAAAGAUGAGUGGAUCAAAUCCAUCCAGGCUGCUGUAAGUGUGGACCCCUUCUAUGAGAUGUUGGCAGCAAGAAAGAAGCGAAUUUCUGUGAAGAAGAAGCAAGAACAACCCUGACCCCUGUCCCCAACUCCAUUAUUUAUUUUGGAGCUGCCCCGCCUGGGUGGCAGGACCCCUGGGCCCUGGGGCUGUGGAUCCUGGUUCCCCAUUUGGAAAAUCACCACCUCUAGCUCCUGACUCCUUAUUUGUAAUUAACAUGUUGGUAAUCUUAUUAAUUAUUUAAUCCCUUGCGCCUGCAGAUGCCCUCAUUUCUUGGGUUUGGGAGAGCUGAGGACCCAUCCCCUUGACAUUUACCAGGAUGCUGGGCUGCAUAUAGGGUGCAGACAGGCACAUCCCAGACAAGUCACUCAAGCCCUGUGGGUGCUGAGUGCAGAGAGAGUUUACUGUCUCAGUGUGGUAUUUAGGCACAGCAUACUCUCCAUGUGCUCUGCCCACCAUGUUAAUGUUGGACCUGUGCUCAUUGGAGACCUAGCCUAGCACAGGAGACUAAGACUAAAACAACAAAGGACUGGCUCAGGAGGGAGCAAGUCCUGAGAAGGCCCCGAGUCGGUCACUAGGAACUGGCUGUGCUGUCCAUGAGUACCCCAGAGUGUACUAGAGGAGGGGGCACAGCGCUAUCAGGAGGUACCUGGGAUGCCAUUGUGACAGUGGCCUCUUCUAACCCCAGAUCUAGCCUCCUGUGGAGGUGUGUGUUUCUGACUCAUGAGAGGGGAUCUCGGUGAAGGAAUAAUGCAGAGACCCCAAUGGUCUUGUGCUCCUGUGCUGCUGGGGGAAUAGUCUGCCCACAUUUAGCCUGGAAGCUUUUUUGUUACUCUUCCUGGCCUGUGGUGAGCUUAAAGUCUGAAUCCUGCCUGCUUCUUCCCAGCAUGCUUUAGCAUGCAGGCUUGACUGGGAAGAAUGAAUGCUGUCCCGGAGCCUUCUGGGAAUUAAGAUUCCAGAACGUGUGUAUUGGAUUUGCAAACCCCUGUGGGUGUGUACCCCAACAGCACUGAUCUGGGUAAGGGGGAGCAUCCAGGCUCUAUUUUAGGUGGGCUUUGGCUCAGGCUACGUGUCAAUAGACAGUGGCAGUCUUCACAGUGGCCGUCUUGUCUCCUAGGAAAAGGUCAUGAAUUACUAUUCCCCUGCCCCCAGGGGCUGCUGUGAAAUGGAGAUUCCCAAAUAAAACAACAUGAGUGUCACCCAAA